UUGGUGACCAGCGGAGGGAUCAUUACCGAGUUUACAACUCCCAAACCCGAUGUGAACGUUACCAAACUGUUGCCUCGGCGGGAUCUCUGCCCCGGGUGCGUCGCAGCCCCGGACCAAGGCGCCCGCCGGAGGACCAACCAAAACUCUUUUUGUAUACCCCCUCGCGGGUUUUUUAUAAUCUGAGCCUUCUCGGCGCCUCUCGUAGGCGUUUCGAAAAUGAAUCAAAACUUUCAACAACGGAUCUCUUGGUUCUGGCAUCGAUGAAGAACGCAGCGAAAUGCGAUAAGUAAUGUGAAUUGCAGAAUUCAGUGAAUCAUCGAAUCUUUGAACGCACAUUGCGCCCGCCAGUAUUCUGGCGGGCAUGCCUGUCCGAGCGUCAUUUCAACCCUCGAACCCCUCCGGGGGGUCGGCGUUGGGGAUCGGCCCUCCCUUAGCGGGUGGCCGUCUCCGAAAUACAGUGGCGGUCUCGCCGCAGCCUCUCCUGCGCAGUAGUUUGCACACUCGCAUCGGGAGCGCGGCGCGUCCACAGCCGUUAAACACCCAACUUCUGAAAUGUUGACCUCGGAUCAGGUAGGAAUACCCGCUGAACUUAAGCAUAUCA
rnacentral:rRNA from 1 species